rnacentral:rRNA from 1 species
AUGGAGAAGCCGGUGGAGGAGCCGUUCUCGAGGCUCACCGACGACCUAACCGCGGAGAUCCUCUCCCGCGUGCCCUACAAAUCACUCCGCAUCUGCGAGCGCGUGUGCCCGCCCGGCCUGGCGCGCCGUCAUCACCGACCCCGCGAGCCGGAGGAGGAUCGCGCAGACCCUGGCCGGCUUCUUCCACAUCGUCACCGACGAUCGACGAGGCCCCGGGCUUCGCCGUCAGCUACGCCGACCUUUCCGCCUUCCCCUGGGCGAGCGUCCCCAAGGCCCGACCGCACGGACUGCUUCUUCUCCCCCGAGGAUUCCUCCGACGGACUGUUCCUCACCCGCGUCAUUCCACCCCUUACCUGCAGUCAGCGUGAUGAAAAGUUUCUUUACAUGGUCUCCAAUCCGGCCACCGGCGAUUACUUUCUGCUGCCUCACUCCGGCUACACCGGCGGCCACCGCCGUGCUUACCUGGGCUUCGACGGCGAUGCGCCCACCCAAGAGUUUCAUGCGUUCGAGUUUGUGAUGGAAAAGACCCAGGGUUUCCGAUGCCCUGUUGUCACAAGGGUGAACAUUUACUCUUCGGAAACUGGUGCAUGGGUGGCAAGGGAAAGCCAGUGGAACGGCGGAUUUACCUUGCGCCAUCGUCAGCCCGGAGUUUUCCGCAAGGGGUGUCUGCACUUGCUCCCAGAUCAGUCUGCGUUGGCAAUGGUUGAUGCGCAAGGGCUGAGAUGGAGAACCGUUCCGCUGCCAACAUUCGUUGAUCCGAGCAUCCAGAUCUUCAUCGGUAAGUCUGCCGGGAAGCUGCUUUAUAUCGACUCCAGCGAUCGUCAAGGACGGGGCUCAGAUAAAAUUUUCACCAUAUCGGUUUAUGCUCUUAGUGUUGGUGUUUAUCAGCGGGAUGCGCCUUGCCCUGAUGACAUAUUCGUGCCUUGGGAACCGUUGCGGAAGCUUUCAAAUGUUGCUCCAAGGAAGAGGUUUCAGGUCGACUUGGCGCUAAAAUUCACUGGAGUACACCCACAUGCCAAUAUAAUCUUCUUGGUAUCUUUUUGGGAUGGUGAACUGAUUGCAUAUGAUCUGGAUCAUCAUGAGAGCACUGUUGUAUAUCACAUUCACCCUGACUAUGAGAGGUCUAGGCCAUUUCUCCCAUAUGUGUCAUUGCUGUCCCGCCUACCAGAGGAUGGAGGAAUGCAGUUGGCAACACUCCAAAUUGAUGAAUGA